rnacentral:lncRNA from 1 species
CUCCGGAUAAUGAUAACAAGUUGUCUGCUAAGAUUGGAUAAUUGAAAUUCUUGUCAGACAAUGUAAUAGGUAGCAUGUUAAGAUAAAAGAUUAACACUAUUUUAUUUAUUAUUUUAUUGACUUAAUUAUCAUAGACAGUGUUGUGUCAUCAGAAGAAAAAACGAAUUUUGUUUAAAUAAGGUAGGGUAGUCACUAAGGCUUAUAGAAAGGGGAAAUGGUUUUAAUUUCUCAAAUGGCAAAUUCAAAAAAUGACUUGUUUAAUUGAAUGUGUUAUUAGAAGAAGAAAAAGAAAAGAAAAAAGAAACAUUUUAACAAAGGUUAAAGGUUGUCAUCUGACAGAAAAAAGGGGAGUUGUUGUUGUCAAGAGGUUGGUUUUAUACUCCAAAGAGGAUUAUUUAUUUAAGGAAGUCUUCUUUUUUUUUAGCUCACUGAUCCGAAGGAACUGUGAGCUUUAGCCAUCACUUGGCAUCCGUCUUUGUCCAUCUGGUGUAAACUAUUUCAAACAUCUUCUCCUCUGAAACCACUGAACCAAUUCCAACCAAACUUAAGCUGAAUGAUCCUUAGGUACCGUAUCUAGAAUAAAGUUUGUGUGUUAUUUUCUGUUUCUUCAAAAAACAUGGCCACCAUGGCUAAAAAUAGAACAUAGGGUUAAAAUGCAGUUUUUGCCAUGGCUUAUAUUUCAAAAACCAAAGCAGUUAGAGUAAAUCUGACAUGAGGUAUAAGUGUUCAUAAGGUAAAGUUCUAUCCGCC